ACACACGGAAAACGGCUGAGGAGCGGGUGAGCCCCUGACAGAGGAGUAAAUCUGCAGAUCAACACAAAUCCUCCAGUUUCCACCUCCUCCAACAGCAGUAGCUAGCUGUCAGCUUUUACCAGCCGCCCGGCGCGUUCUGCGCUCCCGACCUCCGGAUCAUAGCCUAAUCAUCCGUGCGAUUGUUGGACUUCACGGUAUUGUUAAACUGCUGCAUUGAGCUUCUGGAUUUCUGCUGCGCUUCUUCAUUCUGUGGAUCUUUAGAGAAGAGAUAGAUAGAUAGAUAGAUAGAUAGAUAGAUAGAUAGAUAGAUAGAUAGAUAGAUAGAUAGAUAGAUAGAUAGAUAGAUAGAUAGAUAUAGAGUGUGAGGCAGAAGGUUUUAAGGGUGAAGGAGCAAUGUGACGGUUGGAUUCCUCCUAUAGCUCACCGGCUACAAUGGACCAAAUCAUACACUGAAACAUCACAGCUCAAGACACAAUGGUCCUUGUUUUUUUCCUGUCAUUAGCAACUGCACAGCCUGACACAGCCAAUUCAACAAACGGCAAUAGCAGUG